rnacentral:rRNA from 1 species
UACGUAGGUGGCAAGCGUUGUCCGGAUUUACUGGGCGUAAAGAGCGCGCAGGCGGUCGAGUAAGUCGAAUGUGAAAGCCCCCGGCUUAACUGGGGAGGGUCAUUCGAUACUGUUCGACUUGAAGGCAGGAGAGGGCAGCAGAAUUCCCGGUGUAGUGGUGAAAUGCGUAGAUAUCGGGAGGAAUACCAGUGGCGAAGGCGGCUGCCUGGCCUGUUCUUGACGCUGAGGCGCGAAAGCUGGGGGAGUAAACGGG